rnacentral:rRNA from 1 species
UACGUAGGGUGCGAGCGUUGUCCGGAAUUAUUGGGCGUAAAGAGCUCGUAGGCGGUGUGUCGCGUCGGUCGUGAAAACUUGGGGCUUAACCCUGAGCUUGCGGUCGAUACGGGCAUCACUGGAGUUCGGCAGGGGAGACUGGAAUUCCUGGUGUAGCGGUGAAAUGCGCAGAUAUCAGGAGGAACACCAAUGGCGAAGGCAGAUCUCUGGGCCGUAACUGACGCUGAGGAGCGAAAGCAUGGGGAGCGAACAGG